GCGGGCCCGGCCCUGCACUUCCGCCCCGGUCCGGCCCUCCCCGACGGCCCGGGUGGCGGCAGGACCGAAAACUGAAUAUUUGGUCCCGUGGACUUUCUGGUCACCCUAUGAGGUAGAUUUACUUUGUCUUGAGUCGUGUGGAAGGACUCUGAAGUCACAAGUUUUUAAGACUCUCAGGCUUACUGUGGAUCUGGAUUCUAAGGCAACACUUCCUUGAAGAAACAAGCUUACAGGCAAAUCACUUCUGUCCUUAUGUAACAGUCUGUGGCCCAGACCCAGGCAAGUAGUAAAUAUUUACCUUCACGCUGGAGCCAAGAUCGCUGCGGGGAGUCCCAC
rnacentral:lncRNA from 1 species